AGCGAACGCUGGCGGCAGGCCUAACACAUGCAAGUCGAACGAACCCUUCGGGGCUAGUGGCGGACGGGUGAGUAACACGUGGGAACGUGCCUUUAGGUUCGGAAUAACUCAGGGAAACUUGUGCUAAUACCGAAUGUGCCCUUCGGGGGAAAGAUUUAUCGCCUUUAGAGCUGCCCGCGUCUGAUUAGCUAGUUGGUGAGGUAAUGGCUCACCAAGGCUACGAUCAGUAGCUGGUCUGAGAGGAUGACCAGCCACAUUUGGACUGAGACACGGCCCAAACUCCUACGGGAGGCAGCAGUGGGGAAUCUUGCGCAAUGGGCGAAAGCCUGACGCAGCCAUGCCGCGUGGAUGAUGAAGGUCUUAGGAUUGUAAAAUCCUUUCACCGGUGAAGAUAAUGACUGUAGCCGGAGAAGAAGCCCCGGCUAACUUCGUGCCAGCCGCCGCCGUAACAC
rnacentral:rRNA from 1 species